UUUCCAUCUCUGAUGAAUGAAAAGUCAUCUGAAGAAACAGUAAUUGGGUUUGACACCACAAGCACAGCAGCAAUGGAAGCAGGUUUCUCAGCUGGGCAAUCUGAUGAUCUAACAAGCUGUCUCAAUGAGAUGAGCAAGUUUAAGGUGAGCUAUAAAGCUCUCAGAACAUUCAGAGAAGAGAUGAGACAAAAAGAAGUUCCACGCUUCAUGUGACCAUCAAAUCAGUACAUCACAAGCCCCCCUGUAGAGUCACAGAUAUGUAACAAGGCUCCUGCCCAUCAUGCCUAUCUCACUUUCAAAUUGUUUAAUAAACCUCAUCUUCUUCAUGAGGGAUCUCAGAAGAUCUGCAUCUAAUUCCUUUUCAAGAGAAUGUUGUGAUGUAAGCAUAUUUCACUGUCUUAAACAGAAUUUCCAAGCAUAACAGUUACAGUAAACAAAAUUACUGUGAAUAACUAUAUAGUAUAAGGUUAAUGCCAUGGUAAGGUAUGCUUGUGUUUUACUUGUCAUACUAUAAGGACUGUAAGCUUGCUCUGCCUUAGAAGUAAGCAUUAGGAUUGUAACCUCAAACCCUUACACUACUUGUAAAGCUGCAACUAAUUUUAACUCUUCUGAUAUAAUUAUCAUCCUUCUCUAGUAGUCUUUAUAUCUUUGUGCGAGGAUUGGCUCAGCUGGUUUAUUAUGUUUGUAUCUUGCUCUGUGAUGUCUCAUUUCUUCUUUAAUUGCUGUUAACAGUGAAGUACAUUAAGCAGUCCAAGGACUCCAUCAUUUUCUUUAGAGUACAAUUAUUUCUAGAUAAUACUGGCAAAUGCAUUCUGGAGGAAUAUGUCUAACAGAAAAACUGUCUUACAUGGAGAGAUGUUGACUGAGGUUCAUUAUCUAAUUGUAUUUCAAGGAAGCUCAUCUACCAUGUAAACUAUCAACAAGUAAAACAGAAAUUAAGGUCACAAACCAAUCUUUCAACAGCAUCUUAGGCUUUUCUUAUCCCAUUCAAAGGUUUUUUUGUGUACAUGCAUUCAGUUGACUCUCAAUUGUUCUGACAUUUCUCGAUGGGCACAAAAAUAUGAUUGAAGAGUAUAAUCAGACCCCUUGUGAAAGCUUAACAGGCUCUGUCCAAAAUGUCGCACGUGUCUGAAUGUAAAAGAUGAGAUAAUAUUAAAGAGAAUGGAAGGAUGGAUUUCUCAUUCCUUUAAGGCGA